rnacentral:rRNA from 1 species
AUACGGAGGGUGCAAGCGUUACUCGGAAUCACUGGGCGUAACGCGCGCGCAGGCGGUCUUUUAAGUUGGAUGUGAAAGCCUACGGCUCAACCGUAGAACUGCAUCCAAAACUAUUUAGCUAGAGUGUGGGAGAGGAAGAUGGAAUUAGUUGUGUAGGGGUAAAACCCGUAGAGAUAACUAGGAAUACCAAAAGCGAAGGCAAUCUUCUGGAACACUACUGACGCUGAGGCGCGAAAGCGUGGGGAGCAAACAGGAUUAGAAACCCUAGUAGUCC